GUUUCAUUUAAAUUUGGUUUUAAAAGAUUGCAUUGAAAUUUUGCUUUUGGAAAAAUGUUAUUAAAAUCUUGCCUCUAAAUACAAUUUACCGUACAUAUUUUUGGACUCAUAGAGGAAAUUUUUGUGAAAAAUAAUGAUAAGAUCGGUUGAUAAAAGCGCUUGCAAAGGCUCUUGAAGUGCAAAUUGGCCGACACAUAUACAUGGGAGCUAUAACUAACUCUGAAUCGAUUUUUAUGCAAUUCACCAGUGAUAAGAACUACGCCCUUUAUAGUCUUAACAAAUGAAGUCGGAUGAACGGUUUAUAUAGGGGCUUUUUUAGUUCUGACAAUACUUGGUUUAUAUGUUGGAGUUUAUAAAAAUUUCACUUGAUCUCUUCAUAUGGCAGCUAUAUGAGGUGAUAUUCCCAACCAAUGGUUUAUUCCGCCUCCCUUUUGGAUAAAAUACCUUGUCGCAUUCUUACUGUUCAAUGGCAAAAUAGUUAAUUUUAGUGCUUGGCCUUUCAAAAUAUCAAGCAUAACUGGAUUUACAUUUUAUUUCGCCAUUUUUGCAAAAUGACUGUCAUUAAAUUUUGAUGACAAUUUUUGGUCAAACCAUUAACAUAAGUAUCGAAUAACAAUAAAUUAUCUAUAAAUUGUGGACAUUAAAUGAGUCUCUAUCACCAGGCGUUGAACAGAGAAGAAGCCGGAGGCACUUUGGGGGUAAACAAUACACAAUGCCUUCUUCCGUGGUGGAAGUCAGUGCCAACGCCAUUUUCCCUUAGGAUAACAGGAUGUCACGAAGAAAUGCUUUAGAAAUUUUCAAAUUUUUUCAACUGCGGAAUUUAAAGACCUCAUUCAAUAUGAUGUAA
rnacentral:sRNA from 1 species